rnacentral:rRNA from 1 species
UACGAAGGGGGCUAGCGUUGCUCGGAAUCACUGGGCGUAAAGGGUGCGUAGGCGGGUCUUUAAGUCAGGGGUGAAAUCCUGGAGCUCAACUCCAGAACUGCCUUUGAUACUGAGGAUCUUGAGUUCGGGAGAGGUGAGUGGAACUGCGGGUGUAGAGGUGAAAUUCGUAGAUAUUCGCAAGAACACCAGUGGCGAAGGCGGCUCACUGGCCCGAUACUGACGCUGAGGCACGAAAGCGUGGGGAGCAAACGGG